UCAGGAACACAAACGUGAUAUUAAAGACUGCUGCUGUCUCCAUACUUGCGAGAAAACGUGUAAGCUGGUGCCUACAGUCAUCCAGUUUACAUACAAACGUUGUAGCACUUCAGUUAAUGCAUCCAAAUGCAGUGAUCAUUGCAGAAAAAAAGAAAACUUUGAUUACAAAGAACGCCAGUGUUGCUGCUGCCAGGAAGAUAAAACUGAGGCUCAAGUUGGUACUCUUAUUUGCAACAAGGAAACUAUUGACUUCAAGUACAAAAAUGUUCUCUCUUGUGCAUGCAAAGAUUGUGCAAAACCAUAAGAUACUAUUAUUAGCAGAAAAGCAAUAGUCUUUUAUUAAAAUUAUGAUGUGAUUUUGAUCCUUUCUAACUAUAUGAAGCUGAUUUCAAUAAUGAUCAAACAAACAAAAAUAAACAUAGGGCCCAGUUUGUUCCAGUAUAUGCAGGAUGCACAGCACAUAUGGACAGCUCUCAAGCGAGUUAUUCUGUGGAGCAUAUCCACUCCCAUUCUAUACUAGCCUAUAUAGAUACACAUACGCAGCAUAACCUCAGCUUGUACCA